GUGUGGUACCCUUAGUCAAUACAUACACAUGAUUUACAUUCAUUACUGUUUUCCAAUAUCCAUGAGGUUUGGCAUUUACAGUCCUUUACUGAGCCAGGCAUUUACCAUCUCAUUCCAAACACUCCCAUACUAGCUCUCUCCUAAUCGAACAAGACAACAUUCUCAUUCCUCAGUCAGACAUUCCAAGUGUGGCUUUUGUUAGGAUUGUGCUGUUAUCAUAAAAAUACAUUGGUUCUAGAAUGCAGUAUACUAUAACUACUUGACCAGAUGAAAAACAGAGCAAAUGCCAGUUGUCCUUGUAAUAGGUAGUACUAUACAUACAGACAUACACUGAGUGUACAAAACAUUAAGAACAACUUCCUAAUAUUGAGUUGUUUUGUACACUCAGUGUAGAUACUGUAUUCCAUCCUGAUCCAACACUGCUCCCUACUGGCAAGUAAAAACUACAGAAGAUGUGUCUCUGAGGUAAGGUAUAACAAAUGUACAUACAGGUAACUGUCAAAAUAAUGGAAACACUUGAGUGAAUUAGGGAUACAAAGGGGUUUUCUCGUUUAGGCAAAAGACCGUCCUCUGUAAAAGACCGUCCUCUGUUCUCUCUCCUCCGUGACCCAGAAACCGAUAAGAAGUCGAGGAGUGUGUCAAUUAAUUAGUAGCAGAGAGGAAGAUCCAUCAUCUUUGUUAAUAGGCAAACGUACCUAAGAAUGUCCUCCCCUCGUCGAUAGAAACCUUCCAUCAAGGAUACUCAUGUGUAUCCUAUCACGGAAGAGUUUUGAAAUCUGCCACACCUCCUUUGAAUUAGCUUUUGUUUUGUCCCAUGAGGAAAAACAUGCACACGUUUAAAAACCAUAUGCUACUUAUUGUUUUAUCUAUAAAAUGUAUUGUACAACUUCAUUUAUUUUAGGAUCCACCCCUGUAAACGUCACUUGCCUAAUGACGUACGAGUGGAGAAGGACCGUCUAAAAUUUUAGCAAGCGCAUUCCAUCCACGUUCACUCUCCACGAUUAACAUUCAUUGACCCUUUUUCUGAAGGAGCCGCGAUAGGACGAGGUCGAAUAAAAAUGAUUCUACCAACAGAAUUCCAGUUGUGGCAGUGUCCUAAAUAAAAAUACACAACGCAGAACGAACCACGCUACAAACUGGUGCCGUGACCUGCCGACUGGUCAGCUCAAGCCGACCCCCGGG
rnacentral:lncRNA from 1 species